rnacentral:rRNA from 1 species
UACAGAGGCCUCGAGCGUUGUUCGGAAUUACUGGGCGUAAAGGGAAUGUAGGCGGUGACGUAAGUCAGACGUGAAAUCCCUCGGCUUAACCGGGGAACUGCGUCUGAUACUGGAUAGCUAGAGUUCGGCAGAGGGAAGCGGAAUUUCGGGUGUAGCGGUGAAAUGCGUAGAUAUCCGAAGGAACAUCAGUGGCGAAAGCGGCUUCCUGGACCAGAACGUGACGAUCAGGCACGAAAGCGUGGGGAGCAAACAGG